rnacentral:rRNA from 1 species
GGCGUCUCGUUCUCAUCGCGAGAAGAGGCGCACCCAGAGCGUACACGCUGGGACCCGAAAGAUGGUGAACUAUGCCUGGUCAGGACGAAGUCAGGGGAAACCCUGAUGGAGGUCCGUAGCGAUUCUGACGUGCAAAUCGAUCGUCGGAACUGGGUAUAGGGGCGAAAGACUAAUCGAACCUUCUAGUAGCUGGUUCCCUCCGAAGUUUCCCUCAGGAUAGCUGGCGCUCGCCUUUGCGAGUCUCAUUCGGUAAAGCGAAUGAUUAGAGGCAUUGGGGUCGAAACGGCCUCAACCUAUUCUCAAACUUUAAAUGGGUGAGAUCUCCGGCUUGCUUAAAGCGUGAAGCCGCGAGAUAUCGGAUCGAAGAGUGCCAAGUGGGCCACUUUUGGUAAGCAGAACUGGCGCUGUGGGAUGAACCAAACGCCGAGUUAAAGCGCCUAAAUCGACGCUUAUGGGAUACCAUGAAAGGCGUUGGUAACUUAAGACAGCAGGACGGUGG